rnacentral:lncRNA from 1 species
AGAUAUUAACCAGCCUGGGGGCUGGGAGAAGUGGGAUUUUUCUUCACUGUUGUGUUCCUUCUCACUUCAGAAAAAUCAACCAAACUGAAGAUGUGCUGACCUUUUGAGACUGAACUAGAAGACCCCUUGACACAAAAUCCUGUAGAAUAUUCAGGUGACAUACUGGAUUUCAGUGCAGCUACUUUCAUUAGUGUUUAGAACUUUGUACACAAUCCUGAAAUGGCAGCCAGGGAGCUCAGCCAACACCACCCAGGGCAGCCUGCCCACCCCACUCCUGGGGCAGGAGCUGAGCAGAGGGAGCUGUGCCAGUGCCCCAGGGCUGCAGGAAGG